AUUGAACGCUGGCGGCAUGCCUUACACAUGCAAGUCGAACGGCAGCACGGGUGCUUGCACCUGGUGGCGAGUGGCGAACGGGUGAGUAAUACAUCGGAACAUGUCCUGUAGUGGGGGAUAGCCCGGCGAAAGCCGGAUUAAUACCGCAUACGAUCCACGGAUGAAAGCGGGGGACCUUCGGGCCUUGCGCUAUAGGGUUGGCCGAUGGCUGAUUAGCUAGUUGGUGGGGUAAAGGCCUACCAAGGCGACGAUCAGUAGCUGGUCUGAGAGGACGACCAGCCACACUGGGACUGAGACACGGCCCAGACUCCUACGGGAGGCAGCAGUGGGGAAUUUUGGACAAUGGGCGAAAGCCUGAUCCAGCAAUGCCGCGUGUGUGAAGAAGGCCUUCGGGUUGUAAAGCACUUUUGUCCGGAAAGAAAUCCUUGGCUCUAAUACAGUCGGGGGAUGACGGUACCGGAAGAAUAAGCACCGGCUAACUACGUG
rnacentral:rRNA from 1 species